AUUUUCCUUCACCACUGACUGCAAUAUAAAAGAAAAAUAUAGCCUGGUUACAAACGCCCAUGGGGCUGGAUGUGUUGGCUGCCUUUAGUGGCCCAUUCUGCCUGCUAAAUAACUGCUCAUUUCCUGACUGCUGGUGGUGAUCAAUGCCUUCAAAAUGGAUUUAUUUCUCAGGGUCCAGUUACAGGAGUCAUCUGUGCUGAGGUCAACUUACAGGAGCUGUCUGCACUGCCUCCUCUUCCUCUCAAUAUCUGGAGAGCUGCUGGCUCUGCUGCCCUGCUGAGGCUGCAUUGCAGGAGGGUGUCCCUCAAACCACCAUACAACGUGGACCCAAGCUGAGGGGACAAGCAAGCCAAGGCACUGGCACAUCCCUCUGGCAUGGUCUGCAGCUCCCAGCGCCAUGUGUACUGUGCUCUCACAUUUCUAAUGCAGGACCAUUGCACAACCCCUCGAUUUUCAAGGUCUUUGUGUCUCACUUCCAUUGGGCACUGACAUGUUCUCCACAAAGGAGCUCACCUACGGGCAGCAGCACACCAUAUGCACACUGUGCAUGGCCUGGCAGCAAUACCAACCUGUGCCCAAGGAGACAAGAGCCCUGCCGCUGCAGGUACAACUGUGCCAAAUGGGGGUUUGGUGGUGUUACAGACAGGUUUGUAGAAAGUUUUCCCACCCCACACCUGGAACCUGAGACCAAUAAUCUUGUGCUGGAUUUCAUCUGUGAAAUUUGGGAUUUAAAGAGAGAUGCCUGCAGAUGUGCUCUAAGGAUGAACCAUCUGUAUCAGGUAUUAAUCACAGCAAAGAGGUAGAAAAGUUCAGCUGAACUGAAGAGAGCUGUCUCUCUCACACCCAUUUUGACCAGAUAGAAUCACAGAAUCAUUAAGGCUGGGAAAGAUGAGUUCAACCCUCAGCCCAUGUCCUAGUUUCAGCUGGGACAGAAUUGUUUUCUUCAGAGUGUCUGGUAUGGUGCUCUGUUUUGGUUCUAGGAGAAAAACAAUGAUGAUGACACACCAAUGUUUAUAGUUGCUGCUCAGCAGCGUUGUACAGAGCCAAGGCCAUUCUCGGCAAAGGGCCCAAGGAGCUGGGAGGGAACAGAAUUAGGACAGCUAACUUAAACUGGCCAGAGGGAUAUUCCACACCAUAUGACAUCAAGUGGAAGGAACUUUAAAGGGGGCGGGAGUUCAUCUGGCUCUCUUCUGCUGCUUGGGGGGCUAGCCGGGCUUCGGUGUGAGGGUGGUGAGUGAUUGCUUGUGCAUCACUUGUCAUAUACAUUCAUAUACAUUCAUAUACAUAUAUAGUCAUAACCAUUACCCUUUUCUUUUUCUCUAUCUUAGUAAAUAGUUUUAUCGCAACACACAAGUUCUACUUUGGUGUUUUUUUUUCCUGAUUCUCUCCCCCAUCCCACUGGGAAAGGGGGGAGUGAGUGAAUGACUGUAUGGUGCUCAGCCACCUACUGAGUUAAACCACAA
rnacentral:lncRNA from 1 species